rnacentral:tRNA from 1 species
UAACUUAGUUGGUAGAGCAUGGCACUUGCAAUGCCAGGGUUGUGGGUUUGAUUCCUAU